UGCGUGCGUGUGUGUGUGUGUGUGUGUUUGCCAAUGCUGCAUAUCAGUGAGAUUAGCCCUCUAGCUGUGCUGUAGCAGGAAUGUGCACCGUGGUCAGACCACAGGGACUUUUCUGUUAAUUCUGGAAUCAUUCAUUUCUAGUAACAGACAGAGACUCAUACAUACACAGGUUAUUUUAGUAACAGACAGAGACUCAUACACAGGUUAUUUUAGUAACAGACAGAGACUCAUACACAGGUUAUUUUAGUAACAGACAGAGACUCAUACACAGGUUAUUUUAGUAACAGACAGAGACUCAUACACAGGUUAUUUUAGUAACAGACAGAGACUCAUACACAGGUUAUUUUAGUAACAGACAGAGACUCAUACCCAGGUUAUUUUAGUAACAGACAGAGACUCAUACCCAGGUUAUUUUAGUAACAGACAGAGACUCAUACCCAGGUUAUUUUAGUAACAGACAGAGACUCAUACCCAGGUUAUUUUAGUAACAGACAGAGACUCAUACACAGGUUAUUUUAGUAACAGACAGAGACUCAUACACAGGUUAUCUUAGUAACAGACAGAGACUCAUACCCAGGUUAUUUUAGUAACAGACAGAGACUCAUACCCAGGUUAUUUUAGUAACAGACAGAGACUCAUACACAGGUUAUUUUAGUAACAGACAGAGACUCAUACCCAGGUUAUUUUAGUAACAGACAGAGACUCAUACCCAGGUUAUUUUCACAUAUGAAAGUGCAUUGAGAAGACACUUCCGUCCGUCUGUCUUUUCAUUCAAGACUCCUCCACCUCUUCACAUGGAAGCUUAUGACUACAUUCCUUAAAACUUUAUUUGCUACUUGUGGGGAAUUGUCAUGCAUUGUGCUUGCUACCUGAUAGUGUCUUAUUAACAUGGUUAAUGUUGAAGGUACUAGUAGUGCUCCUGUUUCAGACGCUGGACUGUUCUCUAUAUCUCUGGCUCCUUUGUUCUCCUGCCUCUCCUCUUCCUGUUCCUCCU